CACAUAAGAAUCAAACAAACAAUAAUUGUGCAAUAAUAACAAUAAAAGUUGAUGUAGUUCAGAACUCAUUUGAGGUUAAUUGGCUUGGUAUAAAUGCAAAACUUGUCCCUAGCAUGUGUAGGAUAGUGUUAAUGUGUGGGAAUCGCUGGUCGACACGGACUCGGUGGGCCGAAGGGCCUGUUUCCGCACUGUAUCUAGAAACUAAACUAAAACGAAACAUGCAGAAUAAAUGCUGGUUUUCCUCACGUUAACACUCGAAGCAGAAUCUUUCCACAACCAUAAACUAAAUGUUGUUUUACAUUUCGUUGAAUGAGCCUAUUCUGCUCUGUUUUAUGCAGAGGGUGAUUUCUAACUGUUUAGCAUCCAGGUCGAAAUCCUAUCGUCGGUAGAUUUCCAUUCGCUAAGUAGUAAACUAAUUAGAAAGCUUUGCAUUUUAUUAUAAUUGACUUUUCACCAGUUAUGACAUUUUGAAUACAGGCCUUUUUUUUUUUGCAUUUCCUCUUUAACUCGGUGACAGCUCGAACAUCUGACAAAUUACAACAACUUUCCUUGACAUUUGCUGCUAGCCAAUUCACACACAUUAAUCAGCAAUGUUUUGUUUUCACAUUUUUUAAAUCUUUCUUGUCACAUUUUCAAAAAAAAAUCUCCAACCAAACACCAGCUAUUAGAUAAGUGAUUGAAGGAGCUGAUAAGAGGAUUCCGAUCGAGAUUUAUUUUCCUCUCGUCUCUUUCCUUGAAUUCUUCUCUUCUUUUCUCUGUAGUGAGAGAGUGUCCACUGAGACCUUUCCCUUGAGCUGAUUUCAAGAAAGAAAAGGGCAAAGAUAUUCUCUGUGCCUGAGGACAGGCCACAAAGGUCAGGACAUCUCCCAAGCUCUGUUUAGCCUCUUUGUCCAGCACUAGACUAAGGUGGCCUUUACGGGCAGAGGGCAGAGCAAGGUCUUUUUCAAGUUAUAAGUAACUAUCAGAACUCCAGCGUGAUUGUGGAUCCCGUCAUUGCUCUUCAAAAAAACCUGUUCACUUUGAGUGUGAUUUCCAUUUAUAUUACGUUUUAUAUACAAAGCAUUUGGAUCAAAUGAUUACUGAAUCAUCCUUACCCUGAGUCCUGGGUUUGAUCCUGUCUGUGGGUGCUGUCUGUACAGAGUUUGUACGUUCUCCCCGUGACCUGCGUGGGUUUUCUCCGAGAUCUUCGGUUUCCUCCCACACUCUGAAGACGUACAGGUACAGUGAAAUGCAUAGGAAGGAACUGCAGAUGCUGGUUUAAACCGAAGAUAGACACAAAAAGAUGUAGUAACGGAGUGUCCCUGGAGAUCAAGGAGAGGCAGCACUUCAGAAACACGGAACAAGGGGCAGCACGGUGUUCGAUCCUGACCAUGGAUGCUGUCUGUAUGGAGUUUGUACAUUCUCCACGUGACCUGCGUGGGUUUUCUCCAAGAUUUCUGGUUUCCUCCCACACUCCCAAGACGUGCAGCACGGAAACAGGCCGUUCGGCACACCGUGUCCAGGCUAACCAUCGAUCAUCCACUCACACUCGUUCUAUCGUACCUGUCGGACUGGCCCUCACCUCGUGAACCAUGUUCAAGGUGCUUCAUUACUCCAGUCAUGGCGUAAGCAAGGUGGGAUUCUGAAGCUGCACUGGAAUAGGUUCCGAGAAGAUUCGGCUUCAGAACAGAUGCUGGAAUCCCGAGUGCUGGAGUAACUCUGCAGGACAGGCAACAUCUCCGGAGGACAUGGAUGGGCAACUUUUCGGCCCAGAGGAAUGACUUUGCCUGCUGCCGUGCCGUUAAUGCCAAGACCUUUAACUUUGAAUAAACUUUCGGGGAAAAGAGUGUGAAUCAUCAACGAUAUAAAACUGACAAUAUAAAAAUGUUAAAAGUUGAAAAUAUGUAAUAGUGUAAACAAGUCUUGUGAGUGUUUUUAACAUUAAAGACAUUCCAGUCACCACCAUUGUUCUGAAGGCAUUCACUUAUUUAAAAUAAGCACCUUAUUGCUCCAGUUGCACUAGCAGACAGUAUAAUACCAGAGUGCCAUAUUAAAUGUA